AAAACAUCUUACGUUAGUCUGACACUUACGUGGAUCUAGCUACCUAUAGUAGCUCCUUUAACAAACAUGGAAAAUUGUAAUAUUGUUAUCCCCAUUUUACAGAUGUGGAACCCGAGGCUCGAGCAGCUAAAGGACGUGUAGGGAUGUUUUCUCUGUAGGGAAUAGUGUGAGAACCCAGGACACAUGGAGGUGGGGAAGAGAGUGUGCCAAGUGGGGGUGAACUUUCCUCACUUCACUGUUUCAUCCGGGACCAGCUCUCCAUGCCCAGGAAUCUGGGCAUAAAGGCCACUCCAUCUAGCUGUGAUGAGAACGGCAGCUUGAGUUGGAAGAACAUUUGUUGCAUAAUGAAAGCAGCCCAUAUGCGUCCAGCUGAGCCUCUAGGUCAAGAGAGAAAUUCAAUAAAAGUGAUGCCGUGAAGAAAAACAGCUUUUUCUGCCCAAGAGGAGCCAUCCAAUAAAAUUAUAGCUUUAAUUUUCA
rnacentral:lncRNA from 1 species